rnacentral:rRNA from 1 species
GAAACGACUGCUAAGACUGGAUAGGAGACAAGAAGGCAACAAAUUGUUUUUAAUUGACCUAGCAAUAGGUAUGCUUAGGGAGGAGCUUGCGUCACAUUAGUUAGUUGGUGGGGUAAAGGCCUAGGAAGACUAUGAUGUGUAGGGGGGCUGAGAGGUUGAACGGCCACAUUGGGACUGAGACACCGGGGGGACUCCUACGGGAGGCAGCAGUAGGGAAUUUUCGGCAAUGGAGGAAACUCUGACCGAGCAACGCCGCGUGAACGAUGAAGUAUUUCGGUACGUAAAGUUCUUUUAUUAGGGAAGAAUAAAUGAUGGAAAAAUCAUUCUGACGGUACCUAAUGAAUAAGCCCCGGCUAACUAUGUGCCAGCAGCCGCGGUAAUACAUACCGGGGGAGCGUUAUCCGGAAUUAUUGGGCGUAAAGGGUGCGUAGGCGGUUAAAUAAGUUUAUGGUCUAAGUGCAAUGCUUAACAUUGUGAUGCUAUAAAAACUGUUUAACUAGAGUAAGAUAGAGGCAAGUGGAAUUCCAUGUGUAGUGGUAAAAUGCGUAAAUAUAUGGAGGAACACCAGUAGCGAAGGCGGCUUGCUGGGUCUUUACUGACGCUGAGGCACGAAAGCGUGGGGAGCAAACAGGAUUAGAUACCCUGGUAGUCCACGCCGUAAACGAUGAGUACUAAAUGUUGGGUAAAACCAGUGUUGAAGUUAACACAUUAAGUACUCCGCCUGAGUAGUACGUACGCAAGUAUGAAACUUAAAGGAAUUGACGGGACUCCGCACAAGCGGUGGAUCAUGUUGUUUAAUUCGAAGGUACCCGAAAAACCUUACCAGGUCUUAUUUGGUUAUGCAAAGUUGUAGAAACACAGUGGAGGUUAUCAGUUGCACAGGUGGGUGCAUGGUUGUGUCAGCUCGUGUCGUGAGAUGUUGGGUUUUCGCGGGCAACGAGCGCCAACCCUUAUUGUUAGUUGCCAGCAGGUAAUGGUGGGGAUUUUUAGUAAGACUGCCAGUGAAUAAAUUGGAGGAAGGUGGGGACGACGUCAAAUCAUCAUGCCCCUUAUGACCUGGGCUACAAACGUGAUACAAUGGCUGUUACAAAGGGUAGCUGAAACGCAAGUUUUUGGCGAAUCUCAAAAAAACAGUCUCAGUUCGGAUUGAAGUCUGCAACUCGACUUCAUGAAGUUGGAAUCGCUAGUAAUCGCGAAUCAGCAUGUCGCGGUGAAUACGUUCUCGGGGUUUGUACACACCGCCCGUC